CCGUCACACCAUGGGAGUGGGCUGCAAAAGAAGUAGGUAGUUUAACCUUCGGGGGGACGCUUACCACUUUGUGGUUCAUGACUGGGGUGAAGUCGUAACAAGGUAGCGCUAGGGGAACCUGGCGCUGGAUCACCUCCUUAAACGAUGAU
rnacentral:rRNA from 1 species